GACGAACGCUGGCGGCGUGCUUAACACAUGCAAGUCGAACGAGAUGCGAACGGGGGAGAAACGCGUAGGUAACUGCCUCAUAGCGGGGGAUAAAUCUUGGAAAAGAUAGCUAAUACCCCCUACUGUGAGAUGGACCUGCGUUGGAUUAGGUAGGUGGUGAGGUAAAGGGUCACCAAGGCGACGAUACAUAGCCGACCUGAGAGGGUGAUCGGCCACACUGGGAAUGAGGCAAGGGCCAGGCUCCUACGGGAGGCAGCAGUGGGGAAUCUUUGGCAAUGGACGGAAGUCUGACUGAGCAACGCCGCGUGAGUGAAGAAGGUUUUCGGGUCGUAAAGCUCUGUUGUUAGGGAAGCGGUACCUACCCAGAAAGCGACGGCUAACUACGUGCCAGCAGCCGCGGUAAUUC
rnacentral:rRNA from 1 species